rnacentral:lncRNA from 1 species
GAUUUUGAAUAUCAGAACAAAAUGUCAAGAAGAGUUAUAAAUUGGAAUAGGAGGAAAAAAUCUUCAGGAUGGUUAGUUUCAACUGAUAAUCUCCAGAUAAUGGGACACUUAAGGUUGGCUUGGCUGAAAGCAGAAAGAAUAAGUGGAAAAUGGAAAAAAAAAAAAAAAGGACUCCUUCAAAACAUUUUGAAAGCACCUGUAACUGCCUAUUUUUCGUGGGCUAUUUUUUCCAUAGGAAAACAGAAUUUCUAUCACCUCCUGGUUUUACUGUGCUGGCACAAGUACUGAACAAUGGUUGUGAGGUGUGCUGUGGAUGAGAUCAGUUUUUGGAGGAUAAGUGAAGAAUUGCAUUUUUAUUCAAACAUCUAGACACAGAUGACACUAUUUGGAAACCAUCAGAAUAUUUUGUUUAUGAUAAUCUGGACAUUUAUGUUCUAUAUUAGAUCUCUAGAAGAUGAUUCUGAAGUGCAAGGACUGCAGUGGCAAGUAUUGGUUUAGCAAGAUUAAUAUAGAUCUUUGAUUUUUUCUUGAAUUAUAAGAGUUUUUAUUUCUGUAGUUUAUGCAUAAUUACAAGGAAAGCCACUCUUACUUUUCUCCCUAAAUCUUAUUUGAACUUUACUGGAUUUUAAUCAUACAGUGAGAACAAAAUUAACCAAAUUUUAAGGUCUUAUCUGUUGUUCUAAGUUCAUUACACAUUUGCAGACUUCUAAUAUUCUAAAUAAUUAUGGCUAGCUUACUUUUGGAACUG